rnacentral:snoRNA from 1 species
CAAGGAUAAAAAACAAUUCUUUAAAAAUAAAUAUCCAUUAGUGGGGCUAGGAUUUGGUAGCUGGUGCUUAGAGAAAACCCUUGAUUACAUCCUCGCCCUGAUACUGUACCAGUAGCAGCUUUCACUCAAGGGAAGAGAG